GAUGAACGCUGGCGGCGUGCUUAACACAUGCAAGUCGAACGGAAAGGCCCCAGCUUGCUGGGGUACUCGAGUGGCGAACGGGUGAGUAACACGUGGGUGAUCUGCCCUGCACUUUGGGCUAAGCUUGGGAAACUGGGUCUAAUACCGAAUAUGACCACUUCUUGGAUGUUGUGGUGGAAAGCUUUUGCGGUGUGGGAUGAGCCUGCGGCCUAUCAGCUUGUUGGUGGGGUAAUGGCCUACCAAGGCGGUGACGGGUAUCCGGCCUGAGAGGGUGUACGGACACAUUGGGACUGAGAUACGGCCCAGACUCCUACGGGAGGCAGCAGUGGGGAAUAUUGCACAAUGGGCGCAAGCCUGAUGCAGCGACGCCGCGUGGGGGAUGAAGGCCUUCGGGUUGUAAACUCCUUUCGCUAUCGACGAAGCCACUUGUGGUGACGGUAGGUAGAUAAGAAGCACCGGCUAACUACGUGCCAGCCGCCGCGGUAA
rnacentral:rRNA from 1 species